UACCAUAUUGUCUAGUGGUUAGGAUACCUGGCUCUCACCCUAGAGGCCCGGGUUCAAUUCCCGGUAUGGGAA
rfam:Daphnia pulex DAPPTscaffold_4506_Cont15785, whole genome shotgun sequence.